rnacentral:rRNA from 1 species
CUGAACCAGCCAAGUAGCGUGAAGGAUGACUGCCCUAUGGGUUGUAAACUUCUUUUAUAAAGGAAUAAAGUCGGGUAUGUAUACCCGUUUGCAUGUACUUUAUUAAUAAGGAUCGGCUAACUCCUUGCCAGCAGCCUCGGUAAUACGGAGGAUCCGAGCGUUAUCCGUAUUUAUUGGGUUUAAAGGGAGCUUAGAUGGAUGUUUAAGUCAGUUGUGAAAGUUUGCGG